AGGUGCUGAGGGGUGUGCAUGCACCUUGGCAUCAGGAUCAGCAGUCACGCCUGGACUGAAUCACCAACACUUCCAUGAUCUAGAAGAUACCAAGAUCCUAAGAUGUCUUUAUCAGCAAUACCCCCUCUUCCUCCUGCCUUGAAGCCUGAAUUUUUCCCUUGAAAUCUCAGUAAAAGAGCAUUGUGCCGUGACAGUAGUAGCUCAUUAAGAGCUCAGAUAUGAACCCGUAGUGUGAUUCCUUUAUCUGGCUACUUCUCAUCCAUUAGUUGGCAAGUGCAAAUCCUAUAGGAAAGAGAUUCUAGAAGGAUUAGUUUUGAUAGGAAAUCAGUCAUCUAGAAAUAGAACAGUGCUCAUGCAACAGAAAGGAGAAAGGAAGGACCUAUUUAAAAAAAGAAAAAAAAAAAACAAGUACAAUGCAUGAUUAAAACACACUCCCUACAGAGAAAAAGGAACCCUAUGACACUGUGGUGGGAAUGCAAAUUGGUGCAACCAUUGUGAAAAAGAGUGUGGAUAUUCCUCAGAAAACUAAAACUAGAACUACCAUUUGAUCCAGCAAUCCCACUCCUGGGCAUCUAUCCAGAGAAAACCAUGACUAAAAAAGACCCAUAUACUCCAAUGUUCAUUGCAGCACUGUAUACAAUAUCCAAGACAUGGAAACAACUUAAAUGUCCAUCAACAGAGGAGUGGGACAAAGAAGAUGUGGUACAUAUACACAAUGGAAUAUGACUCAGCCAUUAAAAGGAAAGAAGUAAUAGCAUUUGCAGCAACAUGGAUGGACACAAAAAUCAUCAUGCUAAGUGAAGUCAGUCCAACAAUGAGACACUAACAUCAAAUGCUAUCACUUACAUGUGAAAUCUAAAAAAAGGACACAAUGAACUUCUUUGCAGAACAGAUACUGACUCACAGACUUUGAAAAACUUAUGGUUUCCAAAGGAGACAGGUUGGAGGGUGGGGGGAUGCACUGAGGGUUUGGGAUGGAAAUGCUGUAAUAUUUGGUUGUGAUGAUUGUUGUACACCUAUAAAUGUAAUAAAAUUCAUUAAGAAAAAAAGAAAAGAAAAUCUUUGCAAUGUAAAUAAUUUGGAAGUGGGUUAACCUUAAAAAAAGAAAAUACUCCCCACUGAUCCCACCACCAUGAGGAGAAAAGCCAAUAGGCAAGGACCAAGGGGCUUAAUCAGGGGUGUGCCUUUGCAAGCAGAGUAGUGUGUGGGGUCUACAUGGGUUAAGAAGCAGCUUUCCUCCUCCAUGCCACUUAGAACUAGGUUAUUUCCUCUUCUCAUAAUCUUGAAAUCCCAGUUUGCCAGCCCUAAUGGCCACCUGUCGUUUUUAUCUCUCCAACAUACUUCCCACCACCUUCUGGUAAAUGCAUCUCCCUUUCCUAAAGAAACCUGCUCUUCCCCAUCCAUUGGGUUCCCACGGGAGUGUCAGCCUCAAAACCCUACUUCACGUUACAGGGGAGUCAAAUGAUUCAUCUGGUUUAUCAUAUACUCCAAUCCCCUGGCAGGGGAUUGGCGCAGUGAAUAGUCACCUGACCCAGCUGAGCCAAUCAGAUUCUACCCUGCAGGAAUUUGAAAUCUGAGCAGACAUCCCAGGAUAGAAGGGAAUCAGAGCUGGGUCUGACAACGGUGGUCUGGAAAAAAGGCUCUGAAAUGCGCAGAGUCACCAUGGCUUCUCUCCCCAUCCCCUAAGGCCAGGUUACUAUUACUUUCACAUAGUGAACUAUCUGUAUCUUUUCGUUAAACUCACUUGGUACUUGAGUUAGAAUUUGUUUCUGUUGUUGCAACCAACAACCAAAACUGAUACAGAAUAUUGCAAGUGACAAAUCGAGAUGUGGUGGGGAGCUGAGUGAGGACACUCACACCCACAGAUUUUCAUCCCAGGCUGGGAAUCUGAUAAAUCUCCACUACAUGGUUAAACUAUUAACUGACUAUGUUGUGACUCAAGCCGUGUGUCCCUGUAGCUAAAGCUCUAGAAAAGGCUUGGCAGAAAAAUGUCAGCAUAUUGGAGCACUCUGGCUACUUUUCUGAGCUUACAUGAAAGCAAGAUGCACCAACCUGGCACUGUGGCUCAGCAGUUUAAGAACCUGACUAGUAUCCAUGAGGAUUGUGGGUUCGAUCGCCAGCCUCACUCAGUGGGUUAAGGAUCCAGUAUUGCCACAAGCUGCAGUGUAUGCAGAUUCUGCUUGGAUCUGGAGUUGCUGUGGCUGUGACGUAGGCUGGCAUCUGGAGCUUUUAUUUGACCCCUAGCCUGGGAACUUCCAUAUGCUACAGGUGCACCCAUAAAAAGAAAAAAAAAAUUAAAUGCACUGACCUAUUGAGAUUUUCUUUCUGCCUUUAACAAAGAUAACAGAUCCCUAGAGUUGAAUAAUUGUGCACUUCAUCUCUGCACAUUACUAAGCUCUUAUCUCCCAGCUCCAAAUGCACAUUCUGCACUGUGCUCUAUGAUGCCAGGGCUGGGACUCUGAAACCCCCAUUUUUCCUUUGCCUGUAGAUUUCUGCUGAUAGGGUAGGCUGGAGGGAGAGUAGGAGGUGAGAUGAGGGAUUUGCCAUUUUCAGCAGUAAUCUCCAGUUUCUUAUCGCUCCCCAUAACCUGACUUUGGAGUUCCCCUCUUGGGCUGAGUUCUGUCCCUGGGCAGAAAUUAACAUCCUAACUAGGAAACUGCUACCUAGGAGAAUGAAGAGAAAAGGGGAAGUCUAAUCCCCAGGCCCAAACACCUGCUAGUAUAAAUUUACUUCUUGCCAUAAAAGGUUAGCAAUUCCUGGCCAUUAUUAAGUGUCACUUAUUGGAGGGCAGUCUGGGGACAAAGCCAGUACAGUAAUGGCUUUAGACUUGGGAAAGAAGGGCCCUGUCCUGACACCCCACCCCCAUGCUUUAAAAUGUCCUAAUCUGAACUUCCUCUGUCCAUGGCCUUCCCCCAUGGGACUAAGAGCCCACAGGGCCCAGAGGAUAUGUCCACUUGGAGCCUGGGACCCCCUUCUAGACCAUGCUUCACACUUAAGAUCACAGAAAGUCCUGCCGAAAUGUCCCAAAGCAUGCUUUCUGGGCCCGUGAAAGCCACUUCCCUGAUCAUUCUUCUGAGUGGACACUGUGGUUCCAGGUUACAGCUGACAGAGUAUGGUGGCAACCAGAGUUUGGAUGUGCCCACUGAGUUGACCACAUGUGUGCAUGAGGUCCUGUUGUGCAGAGUUGAGUGGUAAGAAAUGGUGAGGAGACCAUGGACCUCUUUUUGUGCUCUUACCCCAACUCCAUAAGUGUUAGGGGAGGGCCUGACAGAAAGCAGAGCACUCUGAUCCCCAGACACAAGGCAAAGGCCAGACAAAGCUGUUGAGUUGAGGCCUGGGAGUUGAGCUAAGAGACAGAAAUGCAAGACUGGGGUCCACAUUUAAACAUCAUGACUUACCAGUCAAUGAAUCUCCCUCAAAAGUAAUUAGUGAGGGAGUUUCCGUCAUGGCUCAGUGGUAAUGAACUUGACUAGGAUCAGUGAGGAUGCAGGUACAAUCCCUGGCCUCAUUCAGAGGGUUAAGGAUCCGGCAUUGCCAUGAUCUGUGGUGUAUGUCACAGACAUGGCUUGGAUCCCACGUUGUAGGCUGGCGGCUACAACUCCCAUUAGACCCCUAGCCUGGGAACAUCCAUAUGCCACGGGUUCAGCCCUAAAAAGACAGAAAAGAAAAAAGUAAGCAUGAAUCAGAGUUCCUGUUGUGGCUCAGCAGGUUAAGAACCUGACUAGUAUCCACGAGGAUGUGGAUUCAAUCCCUGGCCUCACUCAAUGGGUUAAGGAUCCAGAGUUGCCUCAAGCUGCAGCAUAGGUCACAGAUGGGGCUCGGAUCCUAUGUUGCUGUGGCUGUGCAGAAGGCAGGCAGCUGCAGCUCUGAAUCAACCCCUGGCCUGGGAACUUCCUUAUGCCACAGAUUCGGCCCUAAAAAGAAGAAAAAAGUAACCAGUGAGUAAUUAUUAGAGAAAUGCAAAUUAAAACUACACUGAGGUACCACCUCACACCUGCCAGAAUGGCCACAAUUUAAAUUUGUUAAAUAUAUUUUUUUACCAGGCUUGCCUUGAGUGUCCCUUCAAGCUGGCUUUAGCAUUAUUUUGAUAUGAUCCAUUAUGCUUUGAGUAUUUUUUUAAUUUUGAGUUUUAUUGUAACAAAUUGGCUCACUGGUUAUGGAGGCUUAGCAGCCCCACAGUCUGCCAUCUGUGAGCUGUAGACACAGGAAAGCUUGUGUUAUAGUUUGAAGGCCUGAGAUUCAGAAAAACAAUGGUAUAGAUUUCAGUCUGAGGUUGCAGGCUUGAGAACCAGAAGCACCAAGGGCAGGAGAAAUUGAUGUCAAAGAGUCAGGCAGAGAGAGGAUUGUAGCUUUUUGCUCUUUUUUGUUCUGAACAGGCCCUCAAUGAAUCAAGGAUGAAGUCUGUUUAUAUUGGGGAGGGCCAUCAACUUUAUUCAGUCAUUUCACAUGCAAAUCUUUUCUAGGAAUACCUUCUCAGACAUACCCAGAAAUAAUGUUUAGCUCGAUACCUAGGCAUUGAAUGCCUCCAUCAAACUGACAAAUUACACUAUGUGUAAUUACAUCAAUGUAGUAAAAUUACACUAGUUAUUUAAUUUAAAAAGUAAAUGAAAUAUUAAGGAGUGGGCCAUUAUGACAAAGCUAGAAAUUCACAUGUGCAUGGACUAGCUUUUCAAUAAAUACUAUCUCAAUCAUGAUUUUUUUUUUUUGUCUUUUAGUGCCAUACCCAUGGCUUAUAGAGGCUCCCAGGCUAGGGGUUGAAUCAGAGCUAUAGCCGCUGGCCUAUACCACAGUCACAGCAACACCAGAUCCUAGCCACAUCUACGACCCACACCACACUGGGGAUUCUUGACCCACUGAGCGAGGCCAGGGAUCAAACCUGCAUCCUUAAGGAUGCUGGUCAGAUUCGUUUCCACUGAGCCACAACAGGAACUCCUCAAUCACUAUAUUCUUAAUAGCAUUUUUAUCUUUCGUGUUUAUUCUUAUAUAACACUUAUAUACUAAUAUUUCAUUUUAGACAAAAAAAUAAAAUGAUAGAAAUCUCUCAGUUAUUUCAUACAUUGGAUAAAAAGAAGUAUACUUUUAGCUUAGAAAGCAGGCAAAAUGGUCGGAUUUGUGGUGGCAUUUUCUACUUUUCACUUUACAAGUAUAAAAUAGGCCUCAGAUUUUCACUAACAAAAUGAGAAGGAAAUCAAAAUGUGAACACCAGUGAGAAAGAGAUAUUUCAGGUUGCAAUUAAAUAUCACUGAUUGAAGAUCUCAUCUUUGAUAAGAAACAUAUUAUGAAUAACAGGCUUAAUUUUUCAAAUAUAAAGAAUGUUUGUUGCCAUGAAAACAUUAAUGAUUAUGUAGUCUUUACUAUAAACAAAACUUAUUCUAAGCUUUAAAAAUAUAUUUAAUCCUUUAUUUCUAACAAUAGCCUCAUGAGGUAAGUAUUGUUAUUUUUUUCCAUUUACACAUGAGAAAACUGAAACUGAGAAAAGUGGAAUAACUUGCCCAAGGUCACAUUGCUAUUAAGCAGGAGGAUCAGAAUCUUACUUGGCAGUCUGGCCCAUAAGGUGUUUUCUUACACACUUUGCUGCAGUUCACCAAAUACUCCUGUAUUUUAUUAUCUCAUUAUAAAACAAUCUGAAAUUGUCUUUGAAAAAUUCUUCCAUGUAAUGACUCAGAAAUCACAUUUAAAAAAAAAAAAAAAA
ensembl:lncRNA